rnacentral:lncRNA from 1 species
UCCUCCAGUCGGUCCCUUCAACGACACAGUUCUUCGUAGCUCUGGCAUCGGAACUAUGCGCACGUACCGACGGCACCACUGCCAGACUCUUGAACUCUGAUUAUGGAGCGAAGACGGCUGAACAGAGGUUCACCAUAUUAGCCAGACACAUGCCGCGGUUCACGAAGCACUUCGGCUGCACUCCCAAGCAACGAAUGCACCUCGCUCGAAACUACCGAGACUGCCUCUUCUGGAGG